rnacentral:rRNA from 1 species
CCUACGGGGGGCUGCAGUGGGGAAUAUUGGACAAUGGGCGAAAGCCUGAUCCAGCCAUGCCGCGUGUGUGAAGAAGGCCUUCGGGUUGUAAAGCACUUUCAGUGGGGAAGAAAGCCUUGGGGCUAAUACCCUCGAGGAAGGACAUCACCCACAGAAGAAGCACCGGCUAACUCCGUGCCAGCAGCCGCGGUAAUACGGAGGGUGCGAGCGUUAAUCGGAAUUACUGGGCGUAAAGCGCGCGUAGGCGGUCUGAUAAGCCGGUUGUGAAAGCCCCGGGCUCAACCUGGGAACGGCAUCCGGAACUGUCAGGCUAGAGUGCAGGAGAGGAAGGUAGAACUCCCGGUGUAGCGGUGAAAUGCGUAGAGAUCGGGAGGAAUACCAGUGGCGAAGGCGGCCUUCUGGACUGACACUGACGCUGAGGUGCGAAAGCGUGGGUAGCAAACAGGAUUAGAUACCCGGGUAGUC